rnacentral:rRNA from 1 species
UACGUAGGGCGCAAGCGUUGUCCGGAAUUAUUGGGCGUAAAGAGCUCGUAGGCGGUUUUGUCGCGUCUGCUGUGAAAAUCCAGGGCUUAACCCUGGGCCUGCAGUGGGUACGGGCAGACUAGAGUGCGGUAGGGGAGAUCGGAAUUCCUGGUGUAGCGGUGAAAUGCGCAGAUAUCAGGAGGAACACCGGUGGCGAAGGCGGAUCUCUGGGCCGUAACUGACGCUGAGGAGCGAAAGCAUGGGUAGCGAACAGG